GACGAACGCUGGCGGCGUGCUUAACACAUGCAAGUCGAACGGAAAGGCCCUGCUUGCAGGGUACUCGAGUGGCGAACGGGUGAGUAGCACGUGGGUGAUCUGCCCUGCACUUCGGGAUAAGCCUGGGAAACUGGGUCUAAUACCGGAUAGGAGCCAUUUUUAGUGUGAUGGUUGGAAAGUUUUUUCGGUGUAGGAUGAGCUCGCGGCCUAUCAGCUUGUUGGUGGGGUAAUGGCCUACCAAGGCGGCGACGGGUAGCCGGCCUGAGAGGGUGGACGGCCACAUUGGGACUGAGAUACGGCCCAGACUCCUACGGGAGGCAGCAGUGGGGAAUAUUGCACAAUGGGCGCAAGCCUGAUGCAGCGACGCCGCGUGGGGGAUGACGGCCUUCGGGUUGGAAACUCCUUUCGCUAGGGACGAAGCUUUUUGUGACGGUACCUAGAUAAGAAGCACCGGCUAACUACGUG
rnacentral:rRNA from 1 species